CUCUCUGAUCGCCCCCCCUCGCGGUAAUCACCCCGCGCUAAUCGCCACCCCCCCUCUCGCGAGUCGCGACCCAUCGCCCUCCCCCCACACGCAACCGUCGUGGCCUCGUCUCUCCCGUGGUCAACCUGCGGUCAGAAUCCGUUCCUCCCACGCCGCAUCCCUCACCUCGCUGUCCAUCCGCGCGAAGCUGCGCUCCAUCGCCGCGGUCCGGGAGACGUCGUCGGCGGCGACAGCGAGCUCCUCGGCGAGCAGCUCGUGCAUCCGGUCCCGGCACGCCUCGACGACGUGCGAGCAGCCGUGGCCGUCGAACACCCCGUAGAAGUCGCGCCUCCCGCCGUGGGAGCCCUCCGCCAGCGCGAACGCCUCGCGCACGGACACGGCGUCUUCCAUCUCCCUCCUGUCCACCCCACGUCAGAGCACCCCCACACUCACGACCUGGCGUGCGGAGGAGAGCCUUGGCGUUGGCGGCCAAGGGCGAUGCGCUGUGGAGCGAGCAGGCUAGGUAGUUGGCCGCAAGGAUAAGGCGGACUGGAUACGGCGUUGCCCUCUCCAAUCCUGAUCUAAUACUGGAUCAUUCACUCCCAAUGGCUGGCGCAUGAUCUGGUGAGGCAGGGACCACAAGGUGGAGGACACCAAUGGCGAUUGUGGUGGUCUACAUUCGUCAUCGUCCCCAUGUGCGUGUAGAGGGAAAACACGGCCCGUAUGCAUUGCAACAGGGCUGAAGUAUUUCAGAGUGACAGCAUCAUAGCAGACCUCCAUGUUAACAGUGCCCCUGUUGAUCCAGUUGUGCUUGCUACCAAAGAAGCUAUGAAGGAGCAGCUCAAGAUGACACGAGGCCCAACCCCAAGUACAUUGGCAAGGAGUGGCUGAGCUGAGGUGCGUGCACAUUGGGUUUCUGUAAUACAUAUAGCCGCGACGGAGGAGAGAACAUAUGCUAUUUUGCAUAAACCGAAUCCUACUUUCAUCUAAGAACUCGUCCUCUGAUCUAUUUCCUAUUUUUUUGUGUUCUUGCUUCCCAAUCCUCCCUCCUCUGCUCCGAUCCCCAACUUCUAUCCCUCACACUCCACUACUCUUUCAAACAUACAUUCUCAUAUACAUGUAAUUGUAUUUAAAAAUAUAUAUAUACACUUGCAAAUGGAAUUACAAUGCUAUUGAGAUCUAAAUAUUUGGAAAAUGCUUUUGCUAAUAUAUGAGACGGUAAAAUGUUAUCUACAAAA